CUUCCAAGUCUUGGACAACAGAUGGUCAGAAGAUAUUAAACAGAAUCCAACUCGGACUUUAAACGAAAUGCAGUAUAAUUAAAACCACAACUGUCAUUUUCAUCACCACCAUCAUCAUUAUUAUUACUGAUAUUACAUUGAUACACCAGUAGGUGGCAACAAGUGACUAUCUUUACUGAACGAAUGAGUCCUGUACUGUUCAAAAACACUGAUUCAUUCAGAAUCAAAAUUUGCAUUUGGAAUAGAAUUUAACUGACUAUUGAAUCUGAAUAUUAACUUAUGCUAUUAUGAUAUAUUGUGAUGGGUAUUGAAGAGAGAGGACUCAAAUGCGAGGGCAAAAUGACAGUCUUUAAUUAAACAAAGGAAAGCCACAGGUAAAUCCAACCAAGGAGUACAAAAGAUGAGAACAGAGGAAGACCCGUAGGCUGGGUAGUAUAAAUAACUCAGGAGACCUCUGUGGCUGGAACGACCAGCAGGCUGGCGAGGCGGAGGCUUGACUGGGCUCAGGGGAGAACCGGAGACUGGAGCUCGCAGAGCGCGGAGGCCGCGGCGUUGGAUAGCAGGUAAGGUUCUGUGGGGUGCAAAUGGUGAGCACAGAGAAAUUCGGGCAGUGAUAGUGGUUAACAAACCCACCCCCGACUAGACCGGACCGGACAGGACAAGACCAACUCUAAGUGAAGACGCCAAUGACCAAUGCUUCAUUCGGAGGUAACAAUCUGACAAAGAGACACGAGAACGAGAGGGUAGAAGUAGCCCAGAUAACAAGGCAAUAUGAGAAGCAGGUGGAGGGGAAAUUAUCUUAAUGAGAAGUGAAGUCAGCUGUGACACAGAAGCGAAGAGCGGGGGAGACAGGAGAGGAGAAACCAGCAGGGGGAGACAGAGAGAGAAAAGGAGAGAGAUAGAGACAGGAUCAUGACAAGACCAUGACAUAUAUGUUUUUUUUAUUAUUAUUAUUAUUUCUCAUUGACUCAUUGACUCAAUAGAUUCAUUCACAAAUAUUGGUCCACUUACAGUAGGUAGCUGCAUCCCAAAAAGCA
ensembl:lncRNA